CUACUGCGUAAACCAGGGACUCCCUUCAACUACAAAGGGGGCUUUCUAACGUAAUCAUUUUUAAAGUUAUCUGGAUAUGUGAUAUUCUAUUAGACAAAAGACACAUGGAAAUAUAUAUUCUUGGGAAUUCUAGAUGCUGUGUAAUUCAAGUCUUUGUGGAGAGAAGGUAGCCAUCACAAAGUACAGUAUACUGUAGCAGUACUCAGCAAGCGAUAGGCCACAGCACUGUGCUAGGUAUGCCACCAACAGGAAUGUAUUAUUAUUGCCAUUUAUAUAGCGCCAACAGAUUCCGUAGCGCUUUACAAUAUUAUGAGAUGGGGGAUUUAAC